rnacentral:rRNA from 1 species
GCAGCUUGCUGCUUCGCUGACGAGUGGCGGACGGGUGAGUAAUGUCUGGGAAACUGCCUGAUGGAGGGGGAUAACUACUGGAAACGGUAGCUAAUACCGCAUAACGUCGCAAGACCAAAGAGGGGGACCUUCGGGCCUCUUGCCAUCGGAUGUGCCCAGAUGGGAUUAGCUAGUAGGUGGGGUAACGGCUCACCUAGGCGACGAUCCCUAGCUGGUCUGAGAGGAUGACCAGCCACACUGGAACUGAGACACGGUCCAGACUCCUACGGGAGGCAGCAGUGGGGAAUAUUGCACAAUGGGCGCAAGCCUGAUGCAGCCAUGCCGCGUGUAUGAAGAAGGCCUUCGGGUUGUAAAGUACUUUCAGCGGGGAGGAAGGGAGUAAAGUUAAUACCUUUGCUCAUUGACGUUACCCGCAGAAGAAGCACCGGCUAACUCCGUGCCAGCAGCCGCGGUAAUACGGAGGGUGCAAGCGUUAAUCGGAAUUACUGGGCGUAAAGCGCACGCAGGCGGUUUGUUAAGUCAGAUGUGAAAUCCCCGGGCUCAACCUGGGAACUGCAUCUGAUACUGGCAAGCUUGAGUCUCGUAGAGGGGGGUAGAAUUCCAUG